rnacentral:rRNA from 1 species
CCCCGGCGCCACAAGUGGGAACCACUUUUAUUGGGUCUAAAGCACCCGUAGCCGGCAAUAUAAAUGCCCUGUGAAAUAGUCAGGCUCAACCUGACUGCGUGCAGGGUAGACUGUAUUGCUUGAGACCGGGAGAGGUCAACGGUAUUCCUUGGGGAACGGUAAAAUGUUAUAAUCCAAGGAGGACCACCGAUGGCGAAAGCAGUUGGCCAGAACGGAUCUGACGGUCAGGGGUGAAAGCUAGGGGAGCGAUCGG